UACGUAGGGUGCAAGCGUUGUCCGGAUUCAUUGGGCGUAAAGGGUCCGUAGGCGGCUCAGCAAGUCGGGUGUGAAAUCUCCAGGCUCAACCUGGAGGGCCACUCGAUACUGCUGUGGCUUGAGUCCAGUAGGGGAGCGAUGGAAUUCCCGGGUAGUUCGAGCGGUGAAAUGCGGCAGAAUAUCGGGAGGAACACCAGUGGGCGAAGGGCGGUCG
rnacentral:rRNA from 1 species